rnacentral:rRNA from 1 species
UUCCCGUGCAAUCACCGAAAUUAAGCAACGUCGAGCCUAGUCAGUACCUAAAUGGGUGACCACUUGGGAAUACCAGGGGCUGUAAG